rnacentral:misc_RNA from 1 species
GAAAUGCGAUACGUAAUGUGAAUUGCAGAAUUCAGUGAAUCAUCGAGUCUUUGAACGCACAUUGCGCCCCCUGGUAUUCCGGGGGGCAUGCCUGUCCGAGCGUCAUUGCUGCCCUCAAGCACGGCUUGCGUGUUGGGCUCUCGUCCCCCCGGGGACGGGCCCGAAAGGCAGCGGCGGCACCGCGUCCGGUCCUCGAGCGUAUGGGGCUUCGUCACCCGCUCUGCAGGCCCGGCCGGCGCUGGCCGACCCCGAUCAAUCUUCUUUCCAGGUUGACCUCGGAUCAGGUAGGGAUACCCGCUGAACUUAA